UGAAAUGAGCUCAAAAUUCCGAAAUAUAAAACUUAGAUCACUUAACGAAGUAACUCUUUAUGAUCGCGGUCAAAGCCAUGCGAUCCGCGAUUGCGAUGUAGAAUCAGCUCCAAAAUGACCAACGCAAACGUAGCCUAGUCCACACAAACAUAAAGGAUAACGACCCUCACAUGUCCGCGAACACGAGUUUCCAAACGCGAACGUGAUAGUCAGCCUCCCCCAACCAGCUCCUCCUCGUGAUCGCAGUGUGACACACGCAAUCGCAUUUCACCCCUUCCAGCUCCCUUCUGCGAUCGCAUGGGUACACCUCGCAACCAUGAUAUACAUAAUCUCUACCAGCGCUAAACCCUCUAUGACCACGUCAAGACCUUCACAAUUAUGAUGCACACCUAAUCAUGAGAAACCAGUGUCACACCUCCUUUUUGCCACUACAUCCCGCGAGUGGCGUAGAAUGGAGUUUUUCAAAUUAUAGGACAAUCAAAACGGGAUUUAUUUAUAUAAAGAAUUCAGAGUCGCCACUUAGGAUAAUUAAUGGUGUCCCAAGUAACCGAUUUAAAUCUUGAGUUGAGAAAAAGGUUGACUCUGUCAUACAGUCUGCAAAUCAGAAAUCCGGAUAAGAAAUUCGCUAACCCGGGAGAAGGUGUUAGGCAUUUCCAAGUUUCGUGGUUCUAGCACGGUCGCUCGACUGUUAUAUUCGGCUUAAUUAUCUUAUUUUAAGAAAAUUAUUGAACCUAUAUGCAUUUUGACCAUUAACCGUUAUUAAUCAAUUUUAAAGAAGACUGAACGUCGUUUAAAAUAUGUCUUUGGAUCACACCCCAUGAAAUGUACCCGCAAUCAUAAACGGAUUUUAUUCAACGUCUUAAGAUUAGGAUUUGGGUCACAUGAAAUGCACACCCGAGUUUAGGAAGGUAAUAUUAUUAAAAUGCAUGCCU
rnacentral:lncRNA from 1 species